ensembl:lncRNA
UAAAACAUAUCUAAUAUAUCUAUAUCCAAUAUAACAAUUGAAUUGCACAUUGGAAGCCAAUAGAGUAAAUGCACCACAAUAAUUUAAGGUGCAUUCAAUAAUUUUGAUACUGAUUUAAAAAAAAAAAAAACUGUUCUUGUAAACCACCAUUGGAAUUCUUGGAAUUUGGAGUUUUAUUACUCACAUGAGAUGAAGACUGUACUAUAAAAAGUGUUUUAAUUAUAUACGGUGCGGGUCACCACUCUAAAUGUACUUUACCAUGUUGAAGAUAAAGUACUCUUUAGAUACUCAAGCUAGUGUUGUUUGGUGAUGUGAGGAGCUGUAAUGUCUGUUUUGAGGUUUUGUUUCAUGUUCUUGUUUUCAUGUCUUUUAUUUUUUAGUUUGAUUCAUGCUGUUUGUGUCAUGCUUCCCUUCCCCUCUUGUUGUCUUGCUAUUGGUUCCUCUUGUUCCUUGUGUCAUGUUCCGAUUGGUUUGUUCUUGUCAUGUGACCCUCAUUGUUUGUAUAAGUAGUCAUGUUUUUGCUAUUGUGCUUUGUCGUGUAUUAACGUUAUAUGGCAACCUGCUGUUGGUGAGUCUAGUCUGUUCAUGUCACGUCAAGUCUGUUCUAGUCAAGUCUGUGUAUCUUGUUUGGAUUAUUGUUUGGAUUUUGGAUUACACCUAUGUAAAUAAACUGCACUUGGGUUCAUCUACACUCGCCUUCAGUGGACUGAUCGUUACAGAAUACACGACCUACCAUGAACCCAGCAGCUGCCCUCCUUGGACUAUGCCAGGGACUCAUCCCAUUGAGGAUUAUGUGGAGGAUUUCUGUUCUUUGUGCCACUUAGUGGACUUCAAUGAUGUGGCCCUCAAAGACAUUUUCCGUUUUGGACUCACAAAAGAAAUCUCUUUGUUAAUGCCACGACACACACCUCACUGGACUCUGACUAGCUAUAUCGACUUUGCACUCCAGUUGAGUGGUUCCUCAUUUACUGUGGGGAUUGCGGAUGAGAAACCCUGCUAUCCUCCAGUACCUACCACACUGGAGCAUUGUGAUGUCCUGCCUGUCAUGCCUGCCAAACCACGGCCUACUCAUGUCAUACCUGCUACGCCAGAGCCUACUCACAUCAUGCCAGUUUCUCAAGAGAUUCUCCACAACAUGGCCGCUAUUCAAGAGCUCCGUCGCAAAAUGGCUGCCACUCAAGAGUCUCUUCGGAAAAUGGCUGCUCUUCCAGAGCCUCGUCACGCCUCGGCUGAACUUCCAGCGGCCAAGAUGGCCGCCACGCCUGAGUCUCGUCACGUCUUGGCAGUCACUGAGACUGUUCCCGUGGCCUCAGUACUUCUAGUAAUGGCAGUCGCCAUUUUGAGCGUGUGGGCUGCACACUGCGCUCCAGAGACUUUUCCGGUCCACGAAUCUGCUCCUGAGGCUUCUCCUAGCCCUGAAUUCACUCCAGUGGCCCCA